GAGUUUGAUCCUGGCUCAGAAUGAACGCUGGCGGCAGGCCUAACACAUGCAAGUCGAACGGAGUUAUAUUGUAGCUUGCUAUGGUAUAACUUAGUGGCAGACGGGUGAGUAAUGUAUAGGAAUCUACCUAGUAGUACGGAAUAAUUGUUGGAAGCGGCAACUAAUACCGUAUACGCCCUACGGGGGAAAAAUUUAUUGCUAUUAGAUGAGCCUAUAUUAGAUUAGUUAGUUGGUGAGGUAAAGGCUUACCAAGACAAUGAUCUAUAGCUGAUCUGAGAGGAUGAUCAGCCACACUGGAACUGAGAUACGGUCCAGCCUCCUACGGGAGGCAGCAGUGGGGAAUAUUGGACAAUGGGCGAAAGCCUGAUCCAGCCAUGCCGCAUGGGUGAAGAAGGCCUUCGGGUUGUAAGGCUCUUUUAGUGAGGAAAAUAAUGACGGUACUCACAGAAGAAGUCCUGGCUAACUCCGUGCCAGCAGCCGCGGUAAUACGGAGAGGGCUAGCGUUAUUCGGAAUCAUUGGGCGUAAAGGGCGCGUAGGCGGGUUAGUAAGUUAAAAGUGAAAUCCCAAGGCUCAACCUUGGAACUGCUUUUAAAACUGCUAGUCUAGAGAUUGAAAGAGGAUAGAGGAAUUCCUAGUGUAGAGGUGAAAUUCGUAAAUAUUAGGAGGAACACCAGUGGCGAAA
rnacentral:rRNA from 2 species